AUGCAAUCUACCUUGUACAGAGGGAUAGCCCAGAGUAAAUUUGGAUUAAUACCUCAUAGUAUCUUUACCUGGCAUCGGGUAAUUAUUAAAGUUCCAACGGUACAAGAUGAGCAUGCGUCCCAUUAGUUAGUUGGUAAGGUAACGGCUUACCAAGACAAUGAUGGGUAGGGGUCCUGAGAGGGAGAUCCCCCACACUGGUACUGAGACACGGACCAGACUCCUACGGGAGGCAGCAGUGAGGAAUAUUGGUCAAUGGACGCAAGUCUGAACCAGCCAUGCCGCGUGCAGGAAGACGGUCCUAUGGAUUGUAAACUGCUUUUAUACAGGAAGAAACAACUCUACGUGUAGAGUCUUGACGGUACUGUAGGAAUAAGGAUCGGCUAACUCCGUG
rnacentral:rRNA from 1 species